UAGGGAUGAUGACAAUCCAGAAGGUUUCGCUCACUGGACUGAGUUCCUGUGAUGUCACUGCCUCUUGGCUGUCUGACCAA
ensembl:snoRNA small nucleolar RNA SNORD53/SNORD92